rnacentral:tRNA from 1 species
UGGGUUUGUAGGUUAAGAAAAUCAACUGUUUGCAAAACAGGAGACGUGUUUAUGUUUAGAGCACUAGUCCCGAAAAAUGGAA